UACGAAGGGGGCUAGCGUUGCUCGGAAUUACUGGGCGUAAAACGCACGUAGGCGGCUCUUUAAGUCGGGGGUGAAAUCCUGGAGCUCAACUCCAGAACUGCCUUCGAUACUGUAGAGCUUGAGUUCGGGAGAGGUGAGUGGAACUGCGAGUGUAGAGGUGAAAUUCGUAGAUAUUCGCAAGAACACCAGUGGCGAAGGCGGCUCACUGGCCCGAUACUGACGCUGAGGUGCGAAAGCGUGGGGAGCAAACAGG
rnacentral:rRNA from 1 species